rnacentral:pre_miRNA from 2 species
GACUCGUGGACUUCCCUUUGUCAUCCUAUGCCUGAGAAUAUAUGAAGGAGGCUGGGAAGGCAAAGGGACGUUCAAUUGUCAU